AUUGAUUGUAUCUUCGUGGAGAUA
rnacentral:siRNA from 1 species